GGCAGGUUUGCCGGGGCGCAGGGGGUGAUCCGCCUUCCUGGAAGGCCCUGCCCGGGGCCCCUGCGGCCUUGUGGGGUGAAGCGCUUCGGGGCCUUCAGCUGUGUGGCUGCGGCGUGUGGGGCAGGGUGACCAGGAGACAAGAGAUCUAAUUGUGCCGCGACGUCUGUAGUGAGAGGAGCUUAUUCCUCAGAGGAAAUGAUUCUCCCUACAUACAUAACAAGAUGGAUGGUACUCCCUUGCUGCCUGGUCACAUAGCUGCUUAUUCUUGGAGGAGUGUAAUGGAAACAUAGCAGCAGUGCUGCUUGAAAAAGAAGACAGAAUGUGGGAGAAUUGUAUUAUAUCAUCAGAAACUGAAAAUUCCUGUAAUGCUAUGAAGUAUUUCCCAGAAAUAAAGCUAUGAAGAAGUGUG